rnacentral:rRNA from 1 species
UACGAAGGGGGCUAGCGUUGCUCGGAAUUACUGGGCGUAAAGGGCGCGUAGGCGGCCGAUUAAGUCGGGGGUGAAAGCCUGUGGCUCAACCACAGAAUUGCCUCGAUACUGGUUGGCUUGAGACCGGAAGAGGACAGCGGAACUGCGAGUGUAGAGGUGAAAUUCGUAGAUAUUCGCAAGAACACCAGUGGCGAAGGCGGCUGUCUGGUCCGGUUCUGACGCUGAGGCGCGAAAGCGUGGGGAGCAAACAGG